rnacentral:rRNA from 1 species
UACGUAGGUGGCAAGCGUUGUCCGGAUUUACUGGGCGUAAAGAGCGCGCAGGCGGUCGUUCAAGUCGCGUGUGAAAGCCCCCGGCUCAACUGGGGAGGGUCACGCGAUACUGAUCGACUGGAAGGCAGGAGAGGGUAGUGGAAUUCCCGGUGUAGUGGUGAAAUGCGUAGAUAUCGGGAGGAACACCAGUGGCGAAGGCGGCACUCUGGGACGGUACUGACGCUGAGACGCGAAAGCGUGGGGAGCGAACAGG